AGAAAAAAAUAGUACAAAAUAAAAAAAAUAAAAAUAAAUUUUAAAUAUAAUAAAAAUUUUAAAAAUAUAAUAAUAUACUAAAUAAAAAUAAUACUAAAAUAUAGUAUUAUUAAAAAGUUAUAUAGUAUAGUAAAUAAGGAAAAAUUUUAAAUAUCGUUCUCGUGGUUUCGCGUUUUUUCAUUUUACUAUUUUAUGAUUUCAAAUUUAUNUUUUUUCCGUUAUCCCCUUUGUUAACUCUUUUGUUAAAUCAGUGCCAAAGUUAAAACCACAGUAUAGUAAAGUAAAAAAUUCGGUAAACCACAUGUUAUUAAAGUGAAUAUUCGAUAAAUUAUAUAUGAAAUAUCUGAAAUUUUUUAUAUAUGAUUUAACGACGAGUUAAUAGAGGCGCUGAAGAAAAGAAAAAAAAAACCAAGGUACUGAAGUGAUACGCUCUCAACCACAUGGUACUAAAGUGAGAAAGCGCGAAACCAUAGGAAUGGUAUUUAAAGUUUUUCCUACAAAAUAUACUAAAAUAUAGUAUAGUAGAAUGUAAUUCUCUGACAUAUGAAAUUAAAUUUAUAUUUAUUUCUUAGGAGCUUUUGUGUAUU
rnacentral:lncRNA from 1 species